AGAGAGAGAGAGAGAGAUUUUCGUAAUCCUUGGGCCUUUCUCCUUUUGCUGUCGAGCUUCCUUUCUCUUCACCGUCAACUUGCUCUUUUGCUUGCCGUCGGACUGCUCCCCGCCUCUUCGCUGUUUGAACUUUCCAAUCCUUCGGUGUGGCCAUGAGCUGAGGGGUGGUUGUUACUUCUCCACUUCUGUUCAAGGUAAGACGAUGAUCCUUUCUUCUCCUUUGAAUUCAUAAGCAACGUGAAUCAUCAUUUCUUUCCUUCCCCGGGCCGAAGAAGGCGUCUCUGCUCCUCUUAGUGGCUGUCAUAAUUUUGAGGAAAUUGAUUUGUAUUUUGUGUUGAUGCUGUGCACUAUUAUAAUUUGGAGAUGAAUUGAAUGGUGAUAAUAGAGUUAUUGUUGGAAGUUGAUUAAUU